AGUGAACGCUGGCGGUAGGCCUAACACAUGCAAGUCGAACGGCAGCACAGUAAGAGCUUGCUCUUACGGGUGGCGAGUGGCGGACGGGUGAGGAAUACAUCGGAAUCUACUUUUUCGUGGGGGAUAACGUAGGGAAACUUACGCUAAUACCGCAUACGACCUACGGGUGAAAGCAGGGGAUCUUCGGACCUUGCGCGAUUGAAUGAGCCGAUGUCGGAUUAGCUAGUUGGCGGGGUAAAGGCCCACCAAGGCGACGAUCCGUAGCUGGUCUGAGAGGAUGAUCAGCCACACUGGAACUGAGACACGGUCCAGACUCCUACGGGAGGUAGCAGUGGGGAAUAUUGGACAAUGGACGCAAGCCUGAUCCAGCCAUACCGCGUGGGUGAAGAAGGCCUUCGGGUUGUAAAGCCCUUUUGUUGGGAAAGAAAAGCAGCAGGUUAAUACCCCGCUGUUCUGACGGUACCCAAAGAAUAAGCACCGGCUAACUUCGUG
rnacentral:rRNA from 1 species